GAUGAACGCUGGCGGCGUGCCUAAUACAUGCAAGUCGAGCGAACACACGAUGAGCUUGCUCCUCUGCCGUUAGCGGCGGACGGGCGAGUAACACGUGCAUCACCUUCUUAUAAUACUUGGAUAACUUCGGGAAGCCGCAGCUAAUACUGGCUCAUAUAUCGAACCGCAUGGUUCAAUAGUGAUACACGCCUUUCCUGUCUCAUUUAGCUGGAUCCGCGCCGCAUUAGCUAGUUGGUAAGGUAACGGCUUACCAAGGCUACGAUGCGUAGCCGACCUGAGAGGGUGAUCGGCCACACUGGAACUGAGACACGGUCCAGACUCCUACGGGAGGCAGCAGUGGGGAAUCUUCCGCAAUGGGCGAAAGCUUGACGGAGCAACACCGCGUGAGUGAUGAAGGUCUUCGGAUCGUAAAGCUCUGUUAUUAGGGAAGAACAAAUGUGUAAGUAACUAUGGACGUCUUGACGGUACCUAAUCAGAAAGCAACGGCUAACUUCGUG
rnacentral:rRNA from 1 species